GCACUUUCUGUUCGCUGUCACACGAUCAAUACACUCAGCUACAGCCUAGUCUCCCCAUUUAACAGAUAAGGCCACUGAAGCUUAGUGAGGUUCAUUGACCUGCCUGAAGUCAUAGAGCAGAGUAUGACAAAAUUGGAAAAAUUGGAAUCAGAAUCACUUCACCCACCCUUAACCUCACCAGAACAGUGUUUUCAAUUCUAGCUACACAGUAAAAUCACUGGAGAGGUUUUAAAAAUACUGAAACCCAGGCUCUGUACCCAGUGAUUCCAUUUAAUUGGUCUGAGGAGGGGGCCGAGGCGCUGGUAUUUUUUAAAGGCUUCCUGGGUAUUUUUUUUUUCCAGUUACUUUCUUUAAAAAAAUUUUUUUUUUAACUUUUCAUUUGAAAUAAUUUCAGACUUCCAAAAAAAGAUGUGAAAUAGUACAAAGCAGUCCUGUGUAUACUUCCCCCGGCUUUUCCAAAUGUUAACAUCUUACGUAACCACAGCGCGGCUAUCAAAGCCCGGAUGUUAACACUGAUACAAUACCGUUCACUAACGUACAGACCUAGUUCAAAUGGUAUCAGUUGCACUUGGUGGAUAGUUCUAAAUCAUUCUGGAGAAUUCACUGCUUUUAGUUAUUCCAUCCCUUUAGUGGACUUGAAUCUUUCCUAGGUGAUCUUAAUGUGCAUCCAGGGUUGAAAACUGCUGGUGGACAGUGGAGCCCUGGAGUUAGUAUUCUAUAAGUAGACUUAAUUGGCUAUAUGGUGCAUUUUUUUCUUCUUGUUCUCUGACAUGUAAGAGCUAUGUCUGAGAAUCUAGCAUGUUUCUAAGCUAUUGUUAUGCUGCUGAUGGGAUGAAUCAUUUGAAGAUUUCUGACUAUUUUUAUGAAGUGACAGUUAAAUCUGCUGGGAGGAGAAAUGAGCCCUAGUUAUAUUCAUAGCAAGGUUACUGCCACCCUGGUGAAAAAUGGAAAAUGGUGUAUCGGAGAGGGAAGAGUUAAAGAGCUUUCAAAUAGGAACUAGUGGGCUAGGUCUUCACAAAACUCAGUGCCAUUCUUUGUAUGUGAGUCUUGAAUACAAUUUAGAUUUUAAUGAGAGAUGUGCUGGGCCUUAAUGUAAAUGUAUUUAGAUAGGGAAGCCAAAGACGCUAAACUGAAAACCUUGCGUUUCUUACAGAUGGUUUAUUAAAUUAAAACAUGUCUCUUAACCUCUGGUCUUGACCCUGCUAUUGCAAAGAUGAGUCAUUGAAACUUCAGCCUGUCUGUUAUCCUGAAUGACUUGGCUGGAGUGCUCCAGCUGGAGGCAUCACCUGGUAACACAUGAAACUGGGUAGCUUGUAAGGAUUUUUACUUGUAUUUUCUCCUUCAGUCUAACUACCUUUAGCCAAUUAGAAUUUUUCGGCCUCAUCUAUUUAUUAUCACCUGCUCUAGGUAAAAACAAACCUGAGUGUCUAUGCUGUGUGCAAAUUAACGUGACUCUGAGGGCGGCAAGCCUGAACAGAAACUAUCCUCCGGAGAGUAAAAAGGUUAUUAAAUUUAAAACCAGGUCCCCAUCACCGGUACUGGAUUCCUCUAGGCCACAGAUGUCCACUGUCAGCAAGGGCUUCCUCUGUGAGGCACUGGUUUGGAAGCAUUUGAACCUAAUAGCAUUCUAUGUGUGUUGAUAUCAGAAAUCGUAUGCACGGAUACACUGCCGACCUUCAAAUUCGCAGAGAAAACAAUCAGCUCCCGUGAUGUUAGGUGGCAGCCAGGGCUGUGGCCUUGUGGGUCGCAGCACAGGAGACUCUCAUAACCCCCUGGGCUUUGGAACAUGCUGCUCCCUCUGCCAAGAAUGCCCUUUUCUCCCACCAACCCUCUUCUCCUGGCUUACUCCUCCCACCUCCUCUUGGAAGCAUUCCUUGGUUUCCUUCCCCAACCUGAAUUAGAAGUCUUUUUCAUAUAUUUGCACCACACUCAGUGCUUCUGUGUACUGCAGUAAAAGUAAUUGUUUAUUUGUCUGAUUUCUCCGCAUCCUAGCACCUAGCCCAGUGCCUGCCACAUAGAAAGUGCCUACGAUAAUGUGUGUGUGUGGAUAAAUGAAUGAUGAAUGAGAGCUGCUGAUUCAGCCUAACUACACCAAGCACUAUCUGUGUGAAGCCAUUUGCACCCAUUAUCUCCUUUAAUCUGGGCAGAAUUUAAUCCUUUAAUUCUGAAGGGAUGGUAUUUUAGCCAUUUCUACAGGUAAGGAAACAGGCUAAGUGACUUCCCUAUGACACAGAACAAGGAUUUGAACCCGGGCUAUCUAAGUCCACAGCUUGGCCUCUGCCCCACAGCCUCUUCCCUACACAGCCUCAGCUGAAGAUUGCUGUGGUUGGCAGAGCAGCCGAUGGCUGACCACAGUGGGGGCGGAAGAUCUCUGCACAGGGCAUGGACCUGUGGGGCUCUGAGAGCUAUAUCUGCAGGCCUUGGUUCACCUUGGGAGACUUAAUGGUGGAGAUGCAGGGCUCCCAGCAGUGGGGAGAGGGUGUGCUUUCCCUGAUGGUGCCAUGGGCCAUGCCCAGUGUGUACUAUUUGGUGAAAAAAAGGACGGCCUGGAAAAGUCCACGAGGACCAGACAUCUACCCUGCCCCUGUGCCCUAAACCUCAGAACUGCCUUCAGCCUAGCGUCGCUCCCAGUGUGCUGAGGCAUCUAGCAGUCAGUCUGGCUACUCAGGAAGGAUUUUGAGCCUCCAUUUCUGAUGAUUCCUUAAGCUUUGCAGCCAGCUCGUUAUCUCAGAGCUCCCGUAAGUGCAAGGGCAAAUCAGCUGAGGCCCCGCCAUUGAGAGGGAGCUGUAAGCUGCUUCUCUGCAAAGAAGGCACCAAAGGGAUGAGGAAGAAAAGGAGGAGGGGUCUCAGUUGUCUCCUGAAGAGUGAGCACUCCAGGGGAAUGAAAACUGCUGCCUGCACAGCAGCCUUGCCGCCCAGCUCUUCAGACUGUGCCCCCCGCUGAGUAAAGUAUACGCCCUUCGACAUUAUUGAAGCAGCUGUGAAGGAUGCCUUCGAUGUGCAGGCCAGGAAAUGCAGCCGGCCAGGUUACUGUAAAUCAGAAACAAAGCAAAUUUACAAAUCAAAGGGCAGGAUGAGUGUGGGUCUAAGUGAAGGGCAAGAGGACUGGCCUUGGAAUGUAUUUUAACUUUGGAAAAACCUCUUCGGGAUGUCCCUUACUUGCCAUGACUGCUAUCAGGCUUGUUUUACUCAAAAUAUUUGUUCAUUAUCCCUACUUAUCCCAAUCCUAUAGGACUUCAAAGAUUUGAGGGCAUUUUUGGUUUUCAAUUUUAACAAGUCACAUCAAAAAAUAAAAAUUCGAGAAGGAAAAUUCUGUUGU